rnacentral:rRNA from 1 species
CCUACGGGUGACAGCAGUAGGGAAUCUUCCACAAUGGGCGAAAGCCUGAUGGAGCAACGCCGCGUGGGUGAAGAAGGUCUUCGGAUCGUAAAACCCUGUUGUUAGAGAAGAAAGUUCGUGUGAGUAACUGUUCUCGUCUCGACGUUAUCUAACCAGAUAGCCUCGGCUAACUACGUGCCAGCAGCCGCGGUAAUACGUAGGUGGCAAGCGUUAUCCGGAUGUAUUGGGCGUAAAGGGAACGCAGGCGGUCUUUUAAGUCUGAUGUGAAAGCCUUCGGCUUAACCGGAGUAGUGCAUUGGAAACUGGGAGACUGGAGGGCAGAAGAGGGGAGUGGAACUCCAUGUGUAGCGGUGAAAUGCGUAGAUAUAUGGAAGAACACCAGUGGCGAAGGCGGCUCUCUGGUCUGUAACUGACGCUGAGGUUCGAAAGCGUGGGUAGCAAACAGGAUUAGAUACCCGUGUAGUC